rnacentral:rRNA from 1 species
CGGAGGAUCCGAGCGUUAUCCGGAUUUAUUGGGUUUAAAGGGUGCGUAGGCGGCCUGUUAAGUCAGGGGUGAAAGACGGUAGCUCAACUAUCGCAGUGCCCUUGAUACUGAUGGGCUUGAAUGUACUAGAGGUAGGCGGAAUGUGACAAGUAGCGGUGAAAUGCAUAGAUAUGUCACAGAACACCAAUUGCGAAGGCAGCUUACUAUGGUAUUAUUGACGCUGAGGCACGAAAGCGUGGGGAUCAAACAGGAUUAGAUACCCUGGUACUCCACGCCCUAAACGAUGAAUACUCGAUGUUAGCGAUAUACAGUUAGCGUCAAAGCGAAAGCGUUAAGUAUUCCACCUGGGGAGUACGCCCGCAAGGGUG